AUUGAACGCUGGCGGCAUGCCUUACACAUGCAAGUCGAACGGUAACAGGUCUUCGGAUGCUGACGAGUGGCGAACGGGUGAGUAAUACAUCGGAACGUGCCUAGUAGUGGGGGAUAACUACUCGAAAGAGUGGCUAAUACCGCAUGAGAUCUACGGAUGAAAGCAGGGGAUCGCAAGACCUUGUGCUACUAGAGCGGCCGAUGGCAGAUUAGGUAGUUGGUGGGAUAAAAGCUUACCAAGCCGACGAUCUGUAGCUGGUCGGGGAGGACGAUCAGCCACGCGGAGACUGAGACCCGGCCCAGACGCCUACGGGAGGCAGCAGUGGGGAAUUUUGGACAAUGGGCGAAAGCCUGAUCCAGCAAUGCCGCGUGCAGGAUGAAGGCCUUCGGGUUGUAAACUGCUUUUGUACGGAACGAAAAGCCCUGGGUUAAUACCCUGGGGUCAUGACGGUACCGUAAGAAUAAGCACCGGCUAACUACGUGCCAGCAGCCGCGGUAA
rnacentral:rRNA from 1 species